GGAUCUUGUGCGAUUUUUUUUAGUGUUUGGAAAACUAUUGUUUGUGCAGUGCUUUGAGGAGGGGCUUUUUUCAGCAUUUUUGAUAAGAGAGAAAUGUAUUUAGACACAUGUGGAAUACAAUUUCUCAGAUAGUUGAUAAUUCCAAGAAACUGUUGGAUUUGUUUAAUUAUCAAAUCCUUAUAUGGAAACUUUAAUAAUUCCUCAGCAAUGUGGGGUCUAGG
rnacentral:misc_RNA from 1 species